UGAGUGGUCUGACUUGCAGGGAGCGGUGGCCUUGGCCAGGAGCGGUCCUGCCGGACUGUAAUUUUAAUUUCCUGCCCAGGCUGUAAUUUUAAUUUCCCUUGGAUGCUUGGCAAAGCCCUUCUGGGGGAGCCCUAGUGCCUGGCAUGAGCGGAGCGGGCUUCCAGGGAGGUAUUCACCUGGUCAGCGUCAGGAACCAUCCUCCCUGAAGCCUCGGCUCCCUCUUUCCCUUCGGUUGCCGUGGAUGUGCCGGACACCUCUGGCAGGACUAACCCUGUGGCUUUUAUGUCCAACGUGCUGUGUGCCUGCAGUAUCCUGUCCAAGACCAAGCUACCUUUCCUCGUUGGAAUGGACUGGCCGGGCUUUGGCAGUCUGGCCCCUCGAAAGACUAAAGUGACCUCUUCCAGCAGGGGAAGACUUUCUGGCAAGCGGUACCAGAAAGAACUGGAGUUUCUGGAGAAUAAAAGCUGGAGGUGUGCCCCCGAUAAUCCU